rnacentral:rRNA from 1 species
AUUGAACGCUGGCGGCGUGCUUAACACAUGCAAGUCGAACGGUAACGCGGGGGCAACCCUGGCGACGAGUGGCGGACGGGUGAGGAAUGCUUGGGAAUCUGCCUGUUAGUGGGGGACAACCCGGGGGAAACUCGGGCUAAUACCGCAUACGCUCUACGGAGGAAAGCGGGGGACCGAAAGGCCUCGCGCUAACAGAUGAGCCCAAGUCGGAUUAGCUAGUUGGUGGGGUAAAGGCCUACCAAGGCUACGAUCCGUAGCUGGUCUGAGAGGACGAUCAGCCACACUGGGACUGAGACACGGCCCAGACUCCUACGGGAGGCAGCAGUGGGGAAUAUUGGACAAUGGGGGAAACCCUGAUCCAGCAAUGCCGCGUGUGUGAAGAAGGCCUGCGGGUUGUAAAGCACUUUUGGCAGGGAAGAAAAGCACUGGCCGAAUACGCCAGUGUGUUGACGUAACCUGCAGAAGAAGCACCGGCUAACUCUGUGCCAGCAGCCGCGGUAAU